rnacentral:rRNA from 1 species
UGGCGGGACGGGGUGGAGUAAUGUCUGGGAAACGUGCCCGAUGGAGGGGGAUAACUACUGGAAACGGUAGCUAAUACCGCAUAACGUCGCAAGACCAAAGAGGGGGACCUUCGGGCCUCUUGCCAUCGGAUGUGCCCAGAUGGGAUUAGCUAGUAGGUGGGGUAAAGGCUCACCUAGGCGACGAUCCCUAGCUGGUCUGAGAGGAUGACCAGCCACACUGGAACUGAGACACGGUCCAG